UACGAAGGGGGCUAGCGUUGUUCGGAUUUACUGGGCGUAAAGCGCGCGUAGGCGGACAUUUAAGUCAGGGGUGAAAUCCCGAGGCUCAACCUCGGAACUGCCUUUGAUACUGUAUGUCUGGAGUUCGGGAGAGGUGAGUGGAAUUCCGAGUGUAGAGGUGAAAUUCGUAGAUAUUCGGAGGAACACCAGAAGCGAAGGCGGCUCACUGGCCCGAUACUGACGCUGAGGCGCGAAAGCGUGGGGAGCAAAC
rnacentral:rRNA from 1 species